rnacentral:rRNA from 1 species
UCAACUCGAGACGGGCGGGUAGAGGCCCGCCGCGGUAACGACGGGUAACGGGAAGUCAGGGUUCGAUCCGGAGAGGAGCCCGAGAAAACGGCUACCACUUCCAAGGAAAGGCAGCAGGCGCGCAACUUACCCUAAUCUCGAUUCGAGGAGGUAGUGACAAGAAAAUACCGAUGCGGGACCCUACGGGUGCCGCGUUCGGAAUGAGUACGAUUCGAACCACCUAACGAGGAACGAUCGGAGGGCAAGUCUGGUGCCAGCAGCCGCGGUAAUUCCAGCUCCAAUAGCGUACGUUAAAGUUGCUGCAGUUAAAAAGCUCGUAGUUGAACGUUCGGGUUCCGCGGGACGGGGCCGCCCCGCGAGGGACGGCGCCGCCCCGGGGGCUCGUGAUAUCUUAUCUCGCCGCCCGUCGCGAGGCGGACGGAGGGAUGGAUGAGGUUACCUGGAAAAAAUCGGGGCGAUCUAGGCGGGCGAACCUCGCCAACGAACGAUCGGACAUGGGAUAACGG